CAUAUAUGAUAGCUCAAUGCAGACCAAUACGUUUGGCCAAAGUCAUGAUAAUAAUACAUAUCACAAACUAACUUCUUAUACAUGCCACUCACUUGAUAUUUCUAAUAGUUGAAUUAAUUCUCCCAAAAGUGAUAGGUUGAUAGUGUGAUUCUGCCUCCGACGAUCUUCAACCCCGAGACGACUUGCCAAAACUGAAGAAGUGGAGAGGAAGCGGUAAGCUUUACGCUUAGUAAGUCGAUAUGAAAUUAAUAAACAAUUACCAUCAUGCUUUUCUAAGAUAAAACACCAAAAUUGUACAAUUUACACAUGUUCAGGUUAAGCUGUUUUACCGAGUUACAGUUACUAAAUCAUUUAUAUCUGGAGACAAGAAACUCCAAAUUAAGUUAUGUUAAUUUUCUUUGAAACUAGACUCAUAUACCUUUCUCCCAUAAAAUUUCUAGAAUUUUUGGUUUAGCCAAUUAGUACAGUUUAUUCAUUAAAUAUUCCCCUGUUUCAGUUUUCAGCUACUCUAACCUUUGUUCACUACAAAUCAAUUUUCUCUCUGUACAGAAUUCAAAGGGCUAUGCCGUUUAUUUCUGUUAAAAAUAGACUCAAUAAGGAAUCUAUACAUGUAAAGUAUAACUCUUAAUUAUUUUUGUACAAUUUUUAGUGAAUUUCUCAAAUAGGAACAGGGGAUCUCGAAGUCAUUCAGACUCUGUCUCACAACAAUUUAAAUAUCUCUUAACAUAAAGUUCAAUUGCAUGUACAGUUUCCUCUAUGUGAAACUAGACUUAUUGAGAUUUAAUCUCAUAUUUUUAUUCAGCCCCUAACUCAAUUUCCACAAUUUAUGGUGAAUUUCCAAAGUUGCACCACUGCAGUAACCUAAAACUGUCAAGGCUGAAUUUGCUCAUUCACCACUAUUAUUCACAAAAUCCAUACAAUAUCAUUUCAUCCAUCAUGGUAAGAACACGUAAUUACGCUUCAUAAGCAUGGACUCAUAAUCACAAGGUCAUCACAAAAGCAUUCUCAUGAACAUUCUUACCACACAAUUACAACAUAUCAACUUCUCUACUCGAGAGUUUACGCACAUACUUGUUCAUCGUACUCAUUUCACAACACUUACCAACAUGUCGCUUUCAUCUGGAGUAUUUCACUUCGUUCACUUGAGAUUUACCCGUUGAACACAUCAGAAUAUAAUUCGGAUACACGAAAUCAAGCUACCAUAAUUUCACCCAUAAUGAACUCGGAACGCAACUCAACGAGCUCGGGUGUUCACAUCCAUAAUGAACUCGAAACACAACUCAACGAGUUUGGAUGCUUGCAUCCAUAAGUGAACUCGGAACGCAACUCAACGAGUUCGGAUGCCUCAUAAUUCUCACGAAUUCGGAAUGCAACUCAACGAGUUCGGAUCUCAAUUUCCUAGUGACAUGUCACUUGUAUCCUAACCUAUUCCUAAGGUUCAAACGGGCUCUUUCCUCGAUCAUACGCCUUUGCCAUCUUUCUCGUGAUGUCAAUAUCGAUACUCCGGUGGCAACUCAUAUUUUUCAAGUAUUCCACAUAAUUUGUAUAAUAAUUCAACAAUAAUCAUAGAAUGCAAUAAUUCGUAAACAAUAAUCAUCAUACCAUUAUCAAGACAUCAACAACAUAUAGUAAUGUUGCAUCAUUUACAUAAUAUCAAAUUAUUCACAUAUAUGUAUACUUACAAUUCAUGUAAUAUCAUAACAUUAACAUUAAAAUACACAUUGCAUUAUUAAAAUCAUAUGAACUUACCUCGUAUGCGAAAAUGGUCAUUUUUACCAUUUUGUCCACAACUUGGUAUUUUGCCAAUUUUAGCCCGAAUUUCAAUUUUCCUUACUCUAUCAUUUCAAAUAUAGCCUAAUUAGGAUAACCCAAAAUCAUAUUUUAGAAAAAUUACAAUUUUGCCCCUAAACUUUCACAUAUUUACACUUUUACCCCAAAUCUCGUAAAUUAAACUUCAUCCUAUUUUCUUAUGUUUUAUGACAUGCUGAUCAUUUUUUUUCCUUCUAUAGCAACAUCCAAUUCUCACUCUAACAUGUACUUAUGAACAUUAGGUAUUUUUACCAAUUUUGUCAUUUUACUCGUUUUCACGUAAAAUCGCUUAGCAAAAGUCGUUUAUCUAACACCCAACCUUCAUUUUAUAUCAUUAGAGAUCAAAAUACAUGCAUAUUAUUCAUGGGUAAAUUUUUAGACAUGAACCUUAGCUCAAAUGAAUGGUAGAAAUAAGUAAAACAAGUUACCGAGAUUUAAAAAAUGUAAAGAACUUUAAAAACGGGGCUAGGGAGCACUUACAAUCGAGCUUGGGAGUUUGAAAAAAUCCUAACCAUGGCUGUUG
rnacentral:lncRNA from 1 species